UACAGAGGUGGCAAGCGUUGUUCGGAAUUACUGGGUGUAAAGGGCGCGUAGGCGGCCUGUUAAGUCCCGUGUGAAAUCCCUCGGCUCAACCGAGGAACUGCACGGGAAACUGGCGGGCUUGAGUUCGGGAGAGGGAAGCGGAAUUCCGGGUGUAGCGGUGAAAUGCGUAGAUAUCCGGAGGAACACAGGUGGCGAAGGCGGCUUCCUGGACCGACACUGACGCUGAGGCGCGAAAGCUAGGGGAGCAAACGGG
rnacentral:rRNA from 1 species